GCCUCCCUGUAAUACAUAACUUGCAGCGCUUCGGUGAAAGCCGGGGUGGAAAACCGGGUUAAUUGACGGGAAGCCUAAAAUCGAAAGAUCAUGGUAAUCCGCAGCCAAGCCCUUCGUUUGUGGGGAAGGUUCAGAGACUAUACGCCUGGCUCCGUUUAGGAGAUGAGAUAGUCCAAGCCUCAGUUAAAAUUGAGG
rnacentral:ncRNA from 1 species